UCGAGGAGGUUCGUGUGUCUUCAUUGUGUGCGUAGGAAGGAACGAAGGAAGUCCGAAGUUGGUACCGAGAGGAGUCUUCGGACCGACGCAAGAACACGCACUACGACCGGAGGGAGCACAACCAGCGUGUCCGGCACGAGCGGCGGUCUCCGCUAAAUUCGUCGCACUUCGCUCUGCCACACUCCCCUUGGACCCGCAGGGGAAGGAUGGUCCACGCCGGCCCCGGCGAGGGCGCGAUAGGAGGUUUCAUCCGAGCUCCGCUAGAUACUGUUCUUACCCUUAUGUUUAUACGGCCAGUUCUCAUUAAAUCAAUAAACAAUGACUCGUCACUCGCAAACGCCGGCUAUAUUUCUAUGGUUUUACGUGCUAACAUAAACAUACAAUCAAGUAGGCUGAAUAGAUUCUACAACGAUGUUGGUAUACGCUUAUUUGUUGUGCCUCGUUGCAAACACGGAACGGCACACACGGUACAGGCAUCUGACAGGCUC
rnacentral:rRNA from 1 species